GACGUAGGGCGCGAGCGUUGUCCGGAUUUAUUGGGCGUAAAGAGCUCGUAGGCGGUUCGGUAAGUCGGGUGUGAAACCUCCAGGCUCAACCUGGAGACGCCACCCGAUACUGCUGUGACUAGAGUCCGGUAGGGGAGCGUGGAAUUCCUGGUGUAGCGGUGAAAUGCGCAGAUAUCAGGAGGAACACCGGUGGCGAAGGCGGUUCUCUGGGCCUAUACUGACGCUGAGGAACGAAAGCGUGGGGAGCGAACAGG
rnacentral:rRNA from 1 species